UACGGAGGGAGCUAGCGUUGUUCGGAAUUACUGGGCGUAAAGCGCGCGUAGGCGGUUACUCAAGUCAGAGGUGAAAGCCCGGGGCUCAACUCCGGAACUGCCUUUGAAACUAGGUAGCUAGAAUCUUGGAGAGGCGAGUGGAAUUCCGAGUGUAGAGGUGAAAUUCGUAGAUAUUCGGAAGAACACCAGUGGCGAAGGCGACUCGCUGGACAAGUAUUGACGCUGAGGUGCGAAAGCGUGGGGAGCAAACAGG
rnacentral:rRNA from 1 species